rfam:Jatropha curcas cultivar GZQX0401 scaffold266_67, whole genome shotgun sequence.
AAGAGAAGAGCUUAUUAGCAUAGCCAAGGAGACUGCCCGGAGCCAGCCGGCAAGUUUUAAUGUAAAAACUUCUUAGAUGGAGGGGGCAAGUCAUCCUUGGCUACCAAAUAAGACUCUGAUCU